rnacentral:lncRNA from 1 species
ACAUCUCGCGGAAGAACUCUCGAAACAGAUCUCGAAUAAAACAUUUCACAAUCGAAGAAGGAUAUGAGACGACAACUCAUCACCUUCCUCCCCACUAUUCACAAAUUCAUAAAAAAAACGUUAUCCGAUUAUCGUACCAUAAAAAGAAAGCCGCGGAGCGGCAGGGAUUCAAAGCCACACACGGCCAGUCCCGAAAUACAAACAAGGCCAUUCAAGGCCGAAACAUAAAAAACAUAAAAAAAUCUCUCGCAAGAGAUCUAACCCAAGUCACCCUCAGAACUUACGCCCCCUCUUCACCCGCUGCCUCGUCCGAGCCUGGAGCCGCGUCGCUUCCGUUCUCUCCGACCAUCGGGUAUUUCCCCUCUGGGUCUUCUGAACAUGUCGGAAGGAAGCACGCGGAUUUCAAGUCGGCCAGGAUGAGACCGAAAUCUCCAUCCUCGGCCGCCAUAUCUCCCUUGCAGCCGGACAGUCGGGCCUCUUCGGCCUCCAAGGUCGGGGGAGUCUCUCUUUGGAACGACCGAACCACGGCCAUCCCGCCCUCAAUCGUCGCCAAAGCGAAAUCCCUGCUCCGGAUACACUCGAGG